AUCUUGUAGUAGUCGAAGGUUUGGAUGAACCAUAUAAAUUGAAUUUGCUACGAACAAUCUUGAUCAAGAGCGUGUGAAGCUUUCUAUGAGUUGUAGUGUUUGCAUUGUUACAGAGGAGAAAUGUCUGAAGCAGAUGCAAGAGGGCUGAAGAGCUUGAUCUUCGUAUACCAUGCACUGAAGCCAUUGUUGGCUUGCAAUAAGACUUUGUCGGUGACUAUAGCUCUUGUUAGGCAUAAGUGCUCCCCUAGUUGAGUUGUAAAGCUUGAUGGUUUUUUAUUACUUGUAAAUGCUAGGAGUUCACAUGUACAAGUUGUACCACUCGUCUUCUGGUUAGUGGAAUGAAUGGUAGGUUGCUUUCAUCACUUGGUUGGUGGUACGAAUGUGA
rnacentral:lncRNA from 1 species